rnacentral:rRNA from 1 species
AUUAGUAUAAAUAAGUAAAAAAUGGAUGACUAGGAUAUUAUAAUGGAGGCGUUAUAUGCGAAAUCUUUGAGAAUAGUUAGAAAAGGUUUCUUAAAAGACUUUAGGAAUUGAAGCAUCUUAGUACUAAAGGUAAAAAAUCAAGCGAAAUUCUGUGAGUAGUGGCGAGCGAAAGUGGAAGUGGCCAUUUUAAGUUUUAAAGAGGGUAAUAAACCCGUGAAAAGGUCAAUAAUUAGAUUUAAAAUCAAAAGAGUAGAAUUAUUUGAAGAUAGGUGUUCCAUACAUCUAAAUCUAAAAAUUAUAAUAUACCUAAAGUGUAUGAGUACUGUGAAGGAAAGUUGAAAAAGAAUGAAAAAGAUACUGAAAUUUGUUAUUUAUUAGCUGACAAGAUUUGUCGUACCUUUUGAAUAAUGGGUUCGUAAGAUAAAUAUUUGGCAAAUUUAAAUUUAUAAAUAUAGAUGAAGUGAAAACAAGUUUAAAUUAUUAAGCAUUAGUCAAAUAGGGCCCGAAACCAAGUGAUCUAGCUAUGGGCAGUUUGAAGUUUUCUUAUUUGGAGAUGGAGGAACGAACCGGUGAUUGUGGCAAAAAUCUCGGAUGACCUGUGGUUAGGGGUAAAAAGCCAAUCGAACUUGGAAAUAGCUGGUUUUCUACGAAAAUUAUUUAAGUAAUGUGUUAUUAGUUUAAAUUUUUACAUGGUAAAGCACUGAAUAGAAAUAUCUAUAGGGUAUUUUUAAACAAACUAUGAAAGUGUAAGAAUAAAAAUGAUAGACAGACAAUAGGCGAGAAGGUUUAUUGUCAAAAAGGGAACAACCUAGAUCAGAAGUUAAGGUCAUUAAAGUGUAAUUAAGUCUGAAAGGGAUAGAUUAGGAUAGAUAAUGAGGAAGUAGGCUUGGAGUCAGCCAUCUUUGUAAGAGGACGUAACAGUUCACUCAAUGAAUUAAUCGGUCUCAAAAAUUUGGGUGGUUUAAGUUAUUACGAGAGGAGACCAAAACUCUGAAUAUUGUGUUAUGGUAGUAGAAUGUUCUGUAAUAAAAUCGAAUAGAUUAUUACGAAAGUAUAUCGGAAGUGAUAAUGCGAAUAUGAGUAAAAAAUAGUGUGAGAAUCAUUAUUCAUGGCCCGCGGUUUCCAAUAAAAGAUUAUCUGGAUUGGGUUAUGCAGCCCCUAAGCAAAGAAAUAUUAGGAGGAUAAUGGGGAAAAAAACAGUAAGUGAAAGAAAUUGUUUUAACAAUAGGCUGUACUAAACUAACACAAGUGGGCAUUAAGUGAUGGUAGAAUUUAUCUUAAGGAACUCGGCAAAAUGAUUCUGUAAGUUCGCGAGAAAGGAUGUUAAUUAUAUGCUUAUAGAGGAAUGGGAGGAUAAUUAAUCUUAGAGAAAAGAGGGUGUCGACUGUUUACCAAAAACAUAGCUUAUAGAAAAGUCUUUGGCUUUAAGGAUUAUAGGUGAGGCCUGCCCAGUGGUUGUAUCUAAAUUUAAAUAAUAAAAUAAGUUGUUUAAUUAAAGACAAUUAAAUGGCCGCGGUAACUCUGACUGUGAUAAUGUAGCGAAAUCAAUAGCCAAUUAAUUGUUGGCAAGUAUGAAUGGCGUAACGAGUGCCCUACUGUCUCAAGAUAAAAACCAAUGAAAUUGAAAUUGUAGUGAAGAUGCUACAAAAAAUUGUAAGACGAGAAGACCCCGUUGAGCUUUACUGGAGGCUUAAAUUGUUUUUAAAAGUAAUAUGUAGAUUAGGUGGGAAUAUCUGAAAAUUCCACUUAUUAGUUCUAAUAAAACCAAUCAGUAGUUUAUUGGGGUGGUUUAAGUUGGACAGUUUGGUUGGGGCGACCGCCUUCUAAAGAGUAACGAAGGCGAACAAAAGGUUAAUAAUGUAAUAGUUUAAAGGGAAAGCUUGACAGUAAGGAGGAUUCCCAAGCUGACACAGGUUGAAUUAGGGAAAGUUCAAUAAUACUGUGGGUUAUAAUGACCCGUUAGUUACGAGUGGGUGUAUUAACGAGCAACGAAUAAAAGUUACCAGGGGGAUAACAGCGUAAUCUCGUUUGAGAGUUCAUAUUGAUGACGAUGUUUGCGACCUCGAUGUUGAAUUGUGAUGACCUGGAGGUGCAGCAGCUUCCAAGGGUUGGACUGUUCGUCCAUUAAAAUCGUACAUGAUUUGAGUUCAGAUCGGCGUGAGCUAGGUCGGUUUCUAUCUACAAUUUUGUUUUGAAACAUAAGAUAUAACUAUACUUUAGUACGAAAGGAUUGAGUGAUAGAUAUCCUCUGGUGGGCCAAUUAUUUAGGUUAAAAUAAAUUGUUGGGUAGCUACGAUAGUAUUAGUGUCUAAUUAUUAUAAUUAGGGUGUAAAGGUAAAAUAAUUUUUGAAAGCAUU